rnacentral:tRNA from 1 species
UUAAUUGAAACCAAAAAGAGGUAAAUCACUGUUAAUGAUUAAACUGGGAAACUCCCCGAUUAAG